GCGCAUGUGCUGUGAGCUCGAUGAGUAGGGCGGGACACGUGGUAUCCUGUCUGAAUAUGGGGGGACCAUCCUCCAAGGCUAAAUACUCCUGACUGACCGAUAGUGAACCAGUACCGUGAGGGAAAGGCGAAAAGAACCCCGGCGAGGGGAGUGAAAAAGAACCUGAAACCGUGUACGUACAAGCAGUGGGAGCACAGGUUUACCUGUGUGACUGCGUACCUUUUGUAUAAUGGGUCAGCGACUUAUAUUCUGUAGCAAGGUUAACCGUAUAGGGGAGCCGUAGGGAAACCGAGUCUUAACCGGGCGUUAAGUUGCAGGGUAUAGACCCGAAACCCGGUGAUCUAGCCAUGGGCAGGUUGAAGGUUGGGUAACACUAACUGGAGGACCGAACCGACUAAUGUUGAAAAAUUAGCGGAUGACCUGUGGCUGGGGGUGAAAGGCCAAUCAAACCGGGAGAUAGCUGGUUCUCCCCGAAAGCUAUUUAGGUAGCGCCUCGUGAAUUCAUCUCCGGGGGUAGAGCACUGUUUCGGCUAGGGGGCCAUCCCGGCUUACCAACCCGAUGCAAACUGCGAAUACCGGAGAAUGUUAUCACGGGAGACACACGGCGGGUGCUAACGUCCGUCGUGAAGAGGGAAACAACCCAGACCGCCAGCUAAGGUCCCAAAGUCAUGGUUAAGUGGGAAACGAUGUGGGAAGGCCCAGACAGCCAGGAUGUUGGCUUAGAAGCAGCCAUCAUUUAAAGAAAGCGUAAUAGCUCACUGGUCGAGUCGGCCUGCGCGGAAGAUGUAACGGGGCUAAACCAUGCACCGAAGCUGCGGCAGCGACGCUGAUGCGUUGUUGGGUAGGGGAGCGUUCUGUAAGCCUGUGAAGGUGGCCUGUGAGGGUUGCUGGAGGUAUCAGAAGUGCGAAUGCUGACAUAAGUAACGAUAAAGCGGGUGAAAAGCCCGCUCGCCGGAAGACCAAGGGUUCCUGUCCAACGUUAAUCGGGGCAGGGUGAGUCGACCCCUAAGGCGAGGCCGAAAGGCGUAGUCGAUGGGAAACGGGUUAAUAUUCCCGUACUUGGUGUUACUGCGAAGGGGGGACGGAGAAGGCUAUGUUGGCCGGGCGACGGUUGUCCCGGUUUAAGCGUGUAGGUGUGUGUUCCAGGUAAAUCCGGUUCACUUUAACACUGAGGCGUGAUGACGAGGCACUACGGUGCUGAAGCAACAAAUGCCCUGCUUCCAGGAAAAGCCUCUAAGCAUCAGGUAACAUCAAAUCGUACCCCAAACCGACACAGGUGGUCAGGUAGAGAAUACCAAGGCGCUUGAGAGAACUCGGGUGAAGGAACUAGGCAAAAUGGUGCCGUAACUUCGGGAGAAGGCACGCUGACACGUAGGUGAAGUGAUUUACUCAUGGAGCUGAAGUCAGUCGAAGAUACCAGCUGGCUGCAACUGUUUAUUAAAAACACAGCACUGUGCAAACACGAAAGUGGACGUAUACGGUGUGACGCCUGCCCGGUGCCGGAAGGUUAAUUGAUGGGGUCAGCGCAAGCGAAGCUCCUGAUCGAAGCCCCGGUAAACGGCGGCCGUAACUAUAACGGUCCUAAGGUAGCGAAAUUCCUUGUCGGGUAAGUUCCGACCUGCACGAAUGGCGUAAUGAUGGCCAGGCUGUCUCCACCCGAGACUCAGUGAAAUUGAACUCGCUGUGAAGAUGCAGUGUACCCGCGGCAAGACGGAAAGACCCCGUGAACCUUUACUAUAGCUUGACACUGAACAUUGAGCCUUGAUGUGUAGGAUAGGUGGGAGGCUUUGAAGCGUGGACGCCAGUCUGCAUGGAGCCGGCCUUGAAAUACCACCCUUUAAUGUUUGAUGUUCUAACGUGGACCCGUGAUCCGGGUUGCGGACAGUGUCUGGUGGGUAGUUUGACUGGGGCGGUCUCCUCCUAAAGAGUAACGGAGGAGCACGAAGGUUGGCUAAUCCUGGUCGGACAUCAGGAGGUUAGUGCAAUGGCAUAAGCCAGCUUGACUGCGAGCGUGACGGCGCGAGCAGGUGCGAAAGCAGGUCAUAGUGAUCCGGUGGUUCUGAAUGGAAGGGCCAUCGCUCAACGGAUAAAAGGUACUCCGGGGAUAACAGGCUGAUACCGCCCAAGAGUUCAUAUCGACGGCGGUGUUUGGCACCUCGAUGUCGGCUCAUCACAUCCUGGGGCUGAAGUAGGUCCCAAGGGUAUGGCUGUUCGCCAUUUAAAGUGGUACGCGAGCUGGGUUUAGAACGUCGUGAGACAGUUCGGUCCCUAUCUGCCGUGGGCGCUGGAGAACUGAGGGGGGCUGCUCCUAGUACGAGAGGACCGGAGUGGACGCAUCACUGGUGUUCGGGUUGUCAUGCCAAUGGCACUGCCCGGUAGCUAAAUGCGGAAGAGAUAAGUGCUGAAAGCAUCUAAGCACGAAACUUGCCCCGAGAUGAGUUCUCCCUGAGACUUAGAGUCUCCUGAAGGAACGUUGAAGACGACGACGUUGAUAGGCCGGGUGUGUAAGCGCAGCGAUGCGUUGAGCUAACCGGUACUAAUGAACCGUGAGGCUUAACCUUACAACGCCGAAG
rnacentral:rRNA from 1 species